rnacentral:rRNA from 1 species
AUUGAACGCUAGCGGGAUGCCUUACACAUGCAAGUCGACCGGAGUGGCGAACGGGUGAGUAAUGUAUCGGAACGUGCCCUGUAGCGGGGGAUAACUACGCGAAAGCGAAGCUAAUACCGCACACUAUUGGAGCGGCCGAUACCUGAUUAGCUAGUUGGUGGGGUAACGGCUUACCAAGGCGACGAUCCGUAGCUGGUUUGAGUGGACGACCAGCCACACUGGGACUGAGACACGGCCCAGACUCCGACGGGAGGCAGCAGUGGGGAAUAUUGGACAAUGGGCGAAAGCCUGAUGCAGCCAUGCCGCGUGUACGAAGAAGGCCUUCGGGUUGUAAAGUACUUUUAGCAGGAAGGCGGUACCUGCAGAAGAAGCACCGGCUAACUACGUGCCAGCAGCCGCGGUAAUAC